rnacentral:rRNA from 14 species
AGGGGUGAAAGGCCAAUCAAACUUGGAGAUAGCUCGUACUCCCCGAAAUAUAUUUAGGUAUAGCGUCUGGUUUUGUCUGUCCGGAGGUAGAGCACUGAUUCGGCUAGGGCCCUUCACCGGGUACCAAACCGAGACAAACUCCGAAUGCCGGCACAGAGCCACCAGGCAGUCAGUCGUUGGGUGAUAACGUCCUACGGCGAGAGGGGAACAACCCAGACC